rnacentral:rRNA from 1 species
UAUAGCUUGCUAUAAAGAAUAGUUAGUGGCAGACGGGUGAGUAAUGCAUAGGAAUCUACCUAGUAGUAUGGGAUAGCCACUAGAAAUGGUGGGUAAUACUGUAUAAUCCCUGCGGGGGAAAGAUUUAUCGCUAUUAGAUGAGCCUAUGUUAGAUUAGCUAGUUGGUAGGGUAAAGGCCUACCAAGGCGAUGAUCUAUAGCUGGUCUGAGAGGAUGAUCAGCCACACUGGAACUGAGAUACGGUCCAGACUCCUACGGGAGGCAGCAGUGGGGAAUAUUGGACAAUGGGCGCAAGCCUGAUCCAGCUAUGCCGCGUGAGUGAGGAAGGCCUUAGGGUUGUAAAACUCUUUCAGUAGGGAAGAUAAUGACGGUACCUACAGAAGAAGUCCCGGCAAACUCCGUGCCAGCAGCCGCGGUAAUACGGAGGGGGCAAGCGUUGUUCGGAAUUAUUGGGCGUAAAGGGCAUGUAG